rnacentral:lncRNA from 1 species
GAGAGAAACGAGGAAAUAAAAAGGAGCAAGUGCUCGGAACCUCGAAAGAAAAGAAAAAGUGAGACGAGAGGUAAAAAUGGACAAGUGUCCGACAGUAGAAAUUAGGGGUACAAGAUACCCACCUGAGAGACAAGAAAAAGAAGAGCAUCUCAUUCUCCUCAUAAAGUUUCAAAAGCAAGGAAGGUAUGUAUCCCCUCAAAGAGCAAAAGUAGAAUUAGACUUCCACCUCCAUUGUUUUCACCAUUGUUAUCACCAUCAUCACCAUACACCAUUCAUUCGCCACACAUGCACAUCUUGAUUAAACUUAUUGACUUGUUAGUUUGGAUCCAUGGUUUGACUAUGCAAUAAAUGUCUUGUAAGUAUGUAUAUUUUAUCUCCCACCUAUGAGCUCCAGAUAUUAAAGCCUUAUUAGAGUAGGCUGAG